GGGCCAGGGGGUCCGGUUUUAUAGUCCCUUCAAGUGAAUCUGGGCCGUCGGAUCAAACCGACAUUGAUCGUGUGGUUUUCCUUGAAGUAUUAGGUCGGUGGAGCAAUAUCCCGAAAGAGAGUCCUGAUUGGACUCUGGCUGAGGGCGGGCGCCCAGGAAAGGUGGGCGGGCGCCCUGUCCCUGUGUCCUCUCGGCCUCCGCUUCGGUCCCGUGGCUUCUGGAGUCUUCUAGAUGAUAGAAAAUUGCGCGGCACGUUAAUAUCUCUAUGUAAACCCAACGUGUGGGCCUUUCUUCCGUAUUUCCUGAUAACCCCCUGCAGAAAUAGACAAACACCAAAACUUGUGGAAUUAUGUCAGAUAAAACCCUAAGUCUAGGUGUUGGUUGCAUUUGGAUCCUUUUCUAUGAUUAAUUGAUGGUUAAAUAUGAGCAUUAAGGACCGUCAACAAGCUCCCCCAAGCUUAACCUUUGCUCGUCCCUGAGCAAAGAUGAACUCAAGAGUUUCUGCAGUGGUUUCAUGCCUUAAAGAUACACAUGCGUUUAAACAAGAUCUUAUCUCUGGUUAGAGUAAACUGUUAAGACUUAAAACUUACUCAUUUACCUUUCACCAUGGGACUUGUAACCGUCACUUCUGUCUUGAGUAGUUAAAAGAUAGAACAGUCUAGUCAAGCACCAUGUCUCUUGUUCUUCGAUUAACUAUAGCUCUGGAGUUUUUGCAGAUUUUCAAAUAAAACUCAGAGAUUCCUUGUAUGACUCUCUCUAGUCUCUCUUUUGUGGUAUUUCUGGAUCCUUACCAAGGCAGUGAUGGUAUAUGCCUUCUCUCAAAGUAUGUGGUAUUUUUGGUAUGAGGCAUAGUGACAUUGCCUUCUCUCUCACCCUACUCUAAUAAGGUUUUGAUAUCUGGAGCUCAUAGGUGGGAGACAGCUAAUACAUACUUACAAGACAUUUAUUGCAUAGUCAAACCAUGGAUCCAGAAAAGCAAGUCAAUAAGUCAAAUCAAGAUGUUCAUGUGUGGCGAAUAAAUGGUGUAUGGUGAUGAUGGUGAUAACAAUGGUGAAAGUCUAAUUCUACUUGUGCUCUUUUGAGGGGAUACAUACCUUUCUUGCUCUUUUAAAACUUUUUGAGGAGAUGAGAUGCUCUAUUUUUUUCUUUUUUUUCUCUCAGGUGGUUAUCUUGUACCCCUAAUUCUACUGUCGGACACUUGUCCAUUUUUACCUCUCGUCUCACUUUUUUCUUUUCUUUCGAGGUUCCGGGCACUUGCCCCUUUUUAUUUCCUCGUAUCUCUUUUUUUUUCUUUUUCUUCUCUUUUUUUUAGAGCACUCAUGUCAUGAGAUAAUAUAGCAAGUGGUAGUAACAAGAUAACUUGAGCAUUUAUUUCACAGGGGAAAAACAGAAAUAUUUUUGGCUAUUCUCUUCCGGAUUAGGAGUAGAAUAUUUUUGGGUGGUUCUGGAGAUGGAAAUGGAUAUAUGUGGAUGCGUACUUCCGGAGUAGAAGCAGCAUGUAUGAGUGAACGUGCAAGUGGAUCUUGACUUAACCACAUGACAAGCUCCUAAGGGUCUACACAGCUUGACCACACUCAAUGCUCAUAAGCAGUAAAGUAAAUGUGUGGCUCAAAGUUUAGCAAGCAUGUAUAUAUGGCUGUGGUAGGAAUUUAAACUCUCAUCAUACAGGAACUCAUCAUGCAACAUUUUAAAGAUUUUCAAAGAUAAAAUUCUCCAGAAUUCUAGCAUCUCUAAGAACAGAUAAACUGCAGCUCAACCUUCCCAUAUCAUAUCCGUUAACGACUUAGACUUUAGAUCAAGUACUCUUCCCACAAGUUCAGGUUUAGAGCAAAUCUUAAUUAAUAACAGUCAUGCCUAAACUUAAGGGAGAUUUCAAUUUUUAGAACUAGUCAUGGCAGAGCAACUAUUCAUCAUUUCCAUGUGAGAGCUUAUCAUGAGGGUUCAUAGCAAAACUUUAUUUAUUUAUUUAUUUAGCAAACUAAGCAAAGAUAUAUAUAAGCACAAAAUAUUUAUUUGGGUUUUUAUGAUUAUGCAUCUUUUUAUUAUUUAAGUAAAGUAUAAACGUGAGUAGAAUACUUAGCUGGAUAAAUGAGGUUGCUCUCCCCCAAGCUGGGUUUUGACGUAAUUCCUUCUCAUGUAGCUAGCAGGUGCUGGAGGUGUAUUUGAAUGUCGGCAACACUCUGACAGCGAUUAGGAUAUCCUCCGUCUGCUAGACUUCUUUGAUCCUUGAAUUCUGUGGAGCUCAAAUAGACAACAAAGCUUUGUGGAACUAGUUAAGUGUUAGCAUAAAUAUUUAGAAUUUAUCAUGUUGAGUCUCCUCAAUAAAUAUUACUCUCUUUAGUAGGAUCAUAAAUUUAUUUUUGUAUUUUUAUUUUUAUAGGACAGAAAUAUAUUUAUUUUAUUUUUAUGCCACCACAGUGAAUGUACUUAUGGGUUUUAUGCCAUGAGCAUACUCACAUGGGGCUUACUAUUUUUAGCAUUUUUAUUUUCUUUUCAAGAUGAUAUCAACCUGAUUAACUAAGCAAACUAUUUUAAAAUAAUUGAAAGGAAAAGGAUAACUACCAAGUUUACCUCUUGGCAAGACGUUCGGUGUUUUUAAGUCCUCCGAACGGUACUCUCCGUUUUCUCAUUCGUCCUGGGAUUCGCUGGAUGGCGUAGUCGGUGGUUCCGGCGGCGCGUACUCUUCAUGUAUAACUAUCUUCUUUCUCUACACCUGCCUCGGUGCACUUCUCCUUCGUACUCUGCCCAUCCGUCCUUGAUGAUUUGCCUUCUCUAGUUGCAGUUGCGUCGUCUUCUUCUUGUCUGUCCUGCUUGGAGUCUUCAACUAUAUAGUUAGGGUCAUAAAAACAGCGACGUACCUUCUCAGAGGGGAAGUACAUGUGGACUUCUUUGGUUCCAAUGUAAAUGAUUGCUUUAACGGUGCUGAGGAACGGUCUUCCAAGGAUGAUGGGUGGAUUGUACUCGUCUUCUCCCAUGUCAAUAACCUUCAACCUUUCGGAAUGUCUGAUCUGCCAUCUGGAGCUGAAUGUAUGUUGGUUGUAGGGGUAUGGUUCCGAAUAAAUAACUUGAAUGUAAAUAAAAGUAAUUAGAGAACUCAGGAGUUAUAAAUUGAAGAACCUGGAGAAUGAUGAAGAACGAACCAGAUGCUGCAAAGGUACAAUGUUGAGGAAGAUCCGACAGAUCCGGCUCCUCCUCUGCUCUCCUCUUCUCUCUCCCUAUUUUCUAGAUUACAACUAGAACUAACUAGAACUAGAACUAGAGGAACUAGAACUAUAACUAGAUGAACUAGAACUAGAUCUAGAUGAACUAGAGGUAGAACUAGAAGAACUAGAGGGAUCCUCUCUACUUGGAUGAAGAAUUGAAACCCUAACUUUGAUUCUGUAGAAGAGGUAUGAUCUCCAGGGGCCAGGGGGGUCUGGUUUUAUAGUCCCUUCAAGUGAAUCUGGGCCGUCGGAUCAAACCGACAUUGAUCGUGUGGUUUUCCUUGAAGUAUUAGGUCGGUGGAGCAAUAUCCCGAAAGAGAGUCCUGAUUGGACUCUGGCUGAGGGCGGGCGCCCAGGAAAGGUGGGCGGGCGCCCUGUCCCUGUGUCCUCUCGGCCUCCGCUUCGGUCCCGUGGCUUCUGGAGUCUUCUAGAUGAUAGAAAAUUGCGCGGCACGUUAAUAUCUCUAUGUAAACCCGACGUGUGGGCCUUUCUUCCGUAUUUCCUGAUAACCCCCUGCAGAAAUAGACAAACACCAAAACUUGUGGAUUUAUGUCAGAUAAAACCCUAAGUCUAGGUGUUGGUUGCAUUUGGAUCCUUUUCUAUGAUUAAUUGAUGGUUAAAUAUGAGCAUU
rnacentral:lncRNA from 1 species